rnacentral:rRNA from 1 species
CCAGACUCCUACGGGAGGCAGCAGUGAGGAAUAUUGGUCAAUGGCCGAAGGGCUGAACCAGCCAAGCCGCGUGAAGGAAUAAGGCCCUACGGGUCGUAAACUUCUUUAGUCAGGGAACAAAGGGAGCCACGCGUGGCGCUGUGAGUGUACCUGAAGAAUAAGCAUCGGCUAACUCCGUGCCAGCAGCCGCGGUAAUACGGAGGAUGCGAGCGUUAUCCGGAUUUAUUGGGUUUAAAGGGUGCGUAGGCGGUUUGUAAAGACAGCGAAAAAAAUCCCGGGCCCACCCCGCCCCCGCCGUUGAAACUGGCGAACUCGAGAGGGAGAGAAGUAGGCGGAAUGCGCAGUGUAGCGGUGAAAUGCAUAGAUAUCACGCAGAACUCCGAUUGCGAAGGCAGCAUACCGGCGCCCAACUGACGCUGAAGCACGAAAGCGUGGGUAUCGAACAGGAUUAGAUACCCUAGUA